GACGAACGCUGGCGGCGUGCCUAAUACAUGCAAGUAGAACGCUGAAGGAGGAGCUUGCUUCUCUGGAUGAGUUGCGAACGGGUGAGUAACGCGUAGGUAACCUGCCUGGUAGCGGGGGAUAACUAUUGGAAACGACAGCUAAUACCGCAUAAGAGUAGAUGUUGCAUGACAUUUGCUUAAAAGGUGCAAAUGCAUCACUACCAGAUGGACCUGCGUUGUAUUAGCUAGUUGGUGGGGUAACGGCUCACCAAGGCGACGAUACAUAGCCGACCUGAGAGGGUGAUCGGCCACACUGGGACUGAGACACGGCCCAGACUCCUACGGGAGGCAGCAGUAGGGAAUCUUCGGCAAUGGACGGAAGUCUGACCGAGCAACGCCGCGUGAGUGAAGAAGGUUUUCGGAUCGUAAAGCUCUGUUGUAAGAGAAGAACGAGUGUGAGAGUGGAAAGUUCACACUGUGACGGUAUCUUACCAGAAAGGGACGGCUAACUACGUGCCAGCAGCCGCGGUAAUACGUAGGUCCCGAGCGUUGUCCGGAUUUAUUGGGCGUAAAGCGAGCGCAGGCGGUUAGAUAAGUCUGAAGUUAAAGGCUGUGGCUUAACCAUAGUAGGCUUUGGAAACUGUUUAACUUGAGUGCAAGAGGGGAGAGUGGAAUUCCAUGUGUAGCGGUGAAAUGCGUAGAUAUAUGGAGGAACACCGGUGGCGAAAGCGGCUCUCUGGCUUGUAACUGACGCUGAGGCUCGAAAGCGUGGGGAGCAAACAGG
rnacentral:rRNA from 1 species